AAAUAACCAAGGUUCUUAUUCCCUUUUCAGGAUCUUGGAUCACCUCCAGAAAAAGAAAACAUUAUUUGGAACCUUUCAGAAUUUCAUGGGCUCUAGGAUUCUAAGCCAUAUAGAAUUUAUGAGAGGAGGAGGCACCAGAUCCUACCUCUUUCCACUUGGAGGGCAAGGGAAGAGAUCUUCCUGACUGAAGAAAAAAAAAAGAAGAAGAAGAAAGACGGGGAGCUUCCAUCUUAAAGAAUUCUUCUCUUCCCAUCAGGUGCCAAUGCUUGUACACCUACUCAAGCUGGACCUUUUAUAAGUGAUACACUCUGCUGGUUUGGCCCUGUGUGCGGAAGAGGAAAGAAAGGGUAGUGAAGAGCAGAGAGUGUAUAUAGUACGGAAGGAUAUAAAGUAAUGGAUGUUUUGUCUUUUUUUUUAGCCAAAAAAAUGACUAAAGUUUGCUAGUGUAGAGAGAGGUAGAACCUCUAACUCAGCAGUACUCACAUUGACUCCACCACAUUUUUCGUUCCAUGACAGUAAAAGCAGCGAGAAAUACCUUUGUAUCUGCAUAUACAAAAUAAUAAAGUAUCCUUUCUGUUUUCAUCAAACUGGCUUUUACAUCCUCUGGAUCCAAAUGUAAAUCUCUGCCAAACAGAGGAGUUUAAGAGUGUUAAUCUUGUGGCUCAUUUUACACAGGGUAGAGUGAUUUGAAGUCAUUGGGGAGCAAUUAUAUUUUCAGAGAAAAGUCCUCGGUUGAGGCUGAAGUUUGCAGCACUGCUAAAAAUAUAUAAACCACUUCUACUACAGCAGAAAGUAGUGAUUUGAAAAAAUCAGAUUUAGGAAUGGAAAAGACACAUUCUUGAAAAAUCCAAACCCACUUGACUGUGUUUGGCCCAAUCCUGUAGUCCUCACUGAGGCAAAGCUGUUGCCUGUAUUCAACAAACAUUGAUGGCAGUUUUCCCAAGUACAAAGCCCAGGAUUGAGCCCUUUGUAUUGGAAAACUUCCAACAAAACUAACCCUCUUAGGAUCUGCAUAUAUUUGGAAACACCAGACCUCAUUCUCCACUGGCUUGUACCUCACGUAGUCACUUGCACCUGUGCA